rnacentral:rRNA from 1 species
CCUUACCUACCCUUGACAUGCUAGGAAGUCCGCAGAGAUGUGGAUGUGCCCGAAAAGGGAACCUAGACACAGGUGCUGCAUGGCUGUCGUCAGCUCGUGUCGUGAGAUGUUGGGUUAAGUCCCGCAACGAGCGCAACCCUUGCCAUUAGUUGCGACAUUUAGUUGAGCACUCUAAUGGGACCGCCGGUGACAAACCGGAGGAAGGUGGGGAUGACGUCAAGUCCUCAUGGCCCUUAUGGGUAGGGCUUCACACGUAAUACAAUGGUCGGUACAGAGGGCUGCCAACCCGCGAGGGGGAGCUAAUCCCAGAAAGCCGAUCGUAGUCCGGAUUGUAGUCUGCAACUCGACUGCAUGAAGCCGGAAUCGCUAGUAAUCGCGGAUCAGCAUGUCGCGGUGAAUACGUUCCCGGGUCUUGUACACACCGCCCGUCACACCAUGGGAGUGGGUUCCACCAGAAGUAGGUAGCCUAACCGCAAGGAGGGCGCUUACCACGGUGAGAUUCAUGACUGGGGUGAAGUCGUAACAAGGUAACC